UAUCUGUAAGCCAUUUCCGGAGCUAUUUGUUUGUAUCGUCCACCUCGUCGACAAAUUGGAUAAGGCCCUGUCAAGAUUUUGCCGGGCGUUGCAUCUCCGACGAAUCGGAGGCGAUCUCAAUCCAGUAGCAGCUUUGCUUGGCUUUCCCUCGCGCCUUCUCGUACUCUUGCUAGUGUAGAUGUGUUCAACCGCUGAACUUUGUGAUGCAAAUCCAUCCCUCCUCGCAAAGGGGGAUAUCCGAGUUCUUCAACCGAUAUUCCAGAUGUACGGUCAAUGCCACGCAUUCUCUGGACCUAUAGUCACACUCAAGGUGUUCGAGGACAAUGUGCUGGUGAGGGAGUUUCUCGAGUCACCAGGGGACGGCCGAGUAUUGGUGGUGGAUGGUGGAGGGAGCAUGAGAUGUGCCUUAGUCGGAGGCAACUUGGGACAAUUAGCACAGAACAUGGGUUGGGCAGGCAUUCUUGUGAAUGGUUGCAUAAGGGACAUCUACGAAAUCAAUGGUUGCGAUAUCGGAGUCAGAGCUUUGGGACCUCAUCCUCUAAAAUCAAACAAGAGAGGCCUAGGUGAAAAGAACGUCACUGUUAACAUCGCCGGCACCAUAAUUCAUGACGGAGAAUGGCUAUAUGCCGAUAGUGAUGGAAUUCUAAUUUCAAACACAGAGUUGUCUCUUUGACCUUCUCAAGAAGGUUCAACAAUUCGAUGAGGAGCAACGAUAGAACAAGAAUGUCUAAGCGACUGACUGAAGAAGCAGAGAAGUACUUUGCAUAAGAGAUCCCGGUUUGAGCUACUUCAAAACAGAAACUUAUGAAGAACUAGGCCUCUACCUACUGAUGCAGACGGCGCUUUGCUUCCUUGGCUGCCAUGGGAAACUAGCAGUGGUCCAUUUUCGUCGUGCAAAAAUAAACCUGGAGUUCCAAUUUCCACAGGAAACAACUCAUAUGCUGAUGCUGCAAUAAUGCCGAUACAGGAGGCAGGUGCUGAGAUCAGUAAUGACAAUAAGAUAUCAAGCAGUAUGGGCAGUCGGAGCCACGGAGAAAUCAAAGGCUCUUCCACAGAUACCAUCAGCAGAGGACACAGCAAGUUCAGACUUCUAAAUCAUUAUUCUGAUGGUAGAACAUGCCCAUCUUCGUUCAACAUGGAUGAGUACCUGAACUUGAAUCAAGCCGAAGAUCUUCUUUUCGAGAGGCUGAGGCAGAGGCAAAGAAUAGAGUAUGGUGGAAUCAUACUCUGCAGAGGACAAAGUUAUUUCAUUGCUUAAUCUAUCCUCAAAUUUUGUUGUUGAGAACUUGUGCAUAAUUCAGUAGGCUAAAGUUAGCAUUCCAUUUACUUUCUAAUG